GGAAGGGGGGAGGGGACGGUACCAACGAGACGCACGUGUCAAGCAUGCACCUGUGGCAAGCAGCCUGUCAGAGGAUGUUAUUACACCUGCCAAGUGGUGUAUCCAGAAACAAAAGAGGCCCAGUUUCCAAUUCUUCAGCUGUGUGCAAUGUUUAGAGAAUCCCUAUACCAGGAAAUAAUCCUGCCUAAAUGGGAACCUCACUAACAGGAGAUAAUAAGGAACCAAUAGUAAGCUGAACGUUAAAGAUACAGGGGUGGAUUGUGCCUCCAAACAUCUGCCACUGGGCUGAGUGAGCCUUGGUAGGGAGCUGAGACCACCGUCCUUCAGCGUCAGCAAACUCAUAUCAUGUCAGCUAGCCACUCGAAUGGUGCAAGAUGCCAAACUGGUUAUUCCCUGAGCAGUUCAGUCACAGUAAGGUGACUCUAAAUGGACGGUCUGCACAUUUUUC
ensembl:lncRNA novel transcript